GGUGGAGUGAUUUGUCUGGUUUAUUCCGAUAACGAGCGAGACUCUAACCUGCUAAAUAGUGACGGGAUAACUUUGUCCCUGUUACUUCUUAGAGGGAUUAGUGGUGUUUAGCCACACUAGAUUGAGCGAUAACAGGUCUGUGAUGCCCUUAGAUGUCCGGGGCUGCACGCGUGCUACACUGGAAGAAUCAGCGUGUUUAUCCAUUACCGAAAGGUAUUGGUAAACCGUUGAAAAUUUGCCGUGAUUGGGAUCGGAAAUUGCAAUUAUUUUCCGUGAACGAGGAAUUCCAAGUAAGUGCGAGUCAUCAGCUCGCGUUGAAUACGUCCCUGCCCUUUGUAC
rnacentral:rRNA from 1 species